AUACGUGAGAGGCAAGCGUUAUCCGGAAUUAUUGGGCGUAAAGGGCGUGUAGGCGGUUUGGCAAGUCUUUUGUGAAAGCUCCCGGCUUAACCGGGAGAGGUCAAGGGAAACUACUAAACUAGAGGGUAGCAGGGGGAGAUGGAAUUCCCGGUGGAGCGGUGAAAUGCGUAGAUAUCGGGAGGAACACCAGUGGCGAAAGCGAUCUCCUGGGCUAUUCCUGACGCUGAGGCGCGAAAGCGUGGGGGGCAAACAGGAUUAGAAACCCCGGUAGUCC
rnacentral:rRNA from 1 species